rnacentral:rRNA from 1 species
GCAAGUCGAACGAACCCUUCGGGGUGUGUGGCGCACGGGUGCGUAACGCGUGGGAACCUUCCCUAAGGUUCGGAAUAACAGUGAGAAAUCGCUGCUAAUACCGGAUAAUGUCGAAAGACCAAAGAUUUAUCGCCUGAGGAUGGGCCCGCGUUAGAUUAGGUAGUGGGUGAGGUAAUGGCUCACCAAGCCGACGAUCUAUAGCUGGUCUUAGAGGAUGAGC